rnacentral:rRNA from 1 species
GGAUUAGAUACCCUAUUAUUUUUAAUGUAAAUAGGUUAAACUAGAGUAUUAGUAGUUAAGGUCUUAAAACUUAAAGAAUUUGGCGGUAUUAUAGUCUAUUUAGAGGAAUCUGUUAUGUAAUCGAUAAUCCACGUUGGAUCUUACUUAUAUUAAUUUUUGUAUACCGCUGUUUAUUGAAAAUUCUUUCAGGAUAUUUUCUUAAUAAAUCAGUAAUUAAAAUUUCAAGUCAAGGUGCAGUAAUAUAUAAGCUAAUUAAUGGGUUACAAUAAAUUUUAUUUAUUAUGGAUAAUUUUUGUAAUAAUAAUUUGAAGGUGGAUUUAAAUGUAAUUUUUUGAAGAUUAUUUUAAUGAUUAAUAGCUCUAUAAUAUGCACACAUCGCCCGUCACUCUCGUUAUUAAGAUGAGAUAAGUC